CAUACAUACAGGCAGGCGUAGACUAGGCAUACAUGCAGGCGGGCGUAGACUAGACAUGCAUACAGGCAGGUGUAGACUAGGCAUACAUACAGGCAGGCGUAGACUAGGCAUACAUAUAGGCAGGCGUAGACUAGACAUACAUACAGGCAGGCCUAGACAUACAUACAGGCAGGCAUAGACUAGGCAUACAUACAGGCAGGUGUAGACUAGGCAUACAUACAGGCAGGCGUAGAGUAGGCAUACAUACAGGCAGGCGUAGACUAGACAUACAUACAGGCAGGUGUAGACUAGACAAACAUGCAGGCAGGCGUAGACUAGACGUACAUACAGGCAGGUGUAGACUAGACAAACAUAUAGGCAGACGUAGACUAGACAUACAUAUAGACAGGCGUAGACUAGGCAUACAUAUAGGCAGGUGUAGACUAGGCAUACAUAUAGGCAGGCGUAGACUGGACAUACAUACAGGCAGGCCUAGACAUACAUACAGGCAGGCGUAGACUAGG